UGAGGAAUAUUGGUCAAUGGGCGGAAGCCUGAACCAGCCAAGUAGCGUGCAGGAUGACGGCCCUAUGGGUUGUAAACUGCUUUUAUAUGGGGAUAAAGUUAGUUACGUGUAACUAUUUGCAGGUACCAUAUGAAUAAGGACCGGCUAAUUCCGUGCCAGCAGCCGCGGUAAUACGGAAGGUCCAGGCGUUAUCCGGAUUUAUUGGGUUUAAAGGGAGCGUAGGCUGUUUUUUAAGCGUGUUGUGAAAUGUAGAUGCUUAACAUCUGAAUUGCAGCGCGAACUGGAAGACUUGAGUGCGCGGAAGGUAGGCGGAAUUCGUCGUGUAGCGGUGAAAUGCUUAGAUAUGACGAAGAACUCCGAUUGCGAAGGCAGCUUGCCGCAGCGCCACUGACGCUGAUGCUCGAAAGCGUGGGGAUCGAACA
rnacentral:rRNA from 1 species